AAACCAGCACCUCAAGUGGUCAGGAUGAUUAUUGGGCCUAAAGCAUCCGUAGCCUGCUUUGUAAGUUUUCGGUUAAAUCUAUAUGCUCAACAUAUAGGCUGCCGGGAAUACUGCACAGCUAGGGAGUGGGAGAGGUAGACGGUACUCGGUAGGAAGGGGUAAAAUCCUUUGAUCUAUUGAUGACCACCUGUGGCGAAGGCGGUCUACCAGAACACGUCCGACGGUGAGGGAUGAAAGCUGGGGGAGCAAACCGGAUUAGAAACCCCGGUAGUCC
rnacentral:rRNA from 1 species